UACGUAGGGGGGCAAGCGUUGUCCGGAUUUAUUGGGCGUAAAGAGCGUGUAGGCGGCCAGGUAGGUCUGGUGUGAAAACUCGAGGCUUAACCUUGAGAUGUCAUCGGAAACCAUUUGGCUAGAGUCCGGAAGAGGAAAGUGGAAUUCCUGGUGUAGCGGUGAAAUGCGCAGAUAUCAGGAAGAACACCAAUGGCGAAAGCAGCUUUCUGGGACGGUACUGACGCUGAGACGCGAAAGCGUGGGGAGGCGGACGGG
rnacentral:rRNA from 1 species